CAGUAGCCGCGGGAAUACGAAGGGGGCUAGCGUUGCUCGGAAUGACUGGGCGUAAAGGGCGCGUAGGCGGAUCACGCAGUCAGAUGUGAAAUUCCUGGGCUUAACCUGGGGGCUGCAUUUGAGACGCGUGGUCUAGAGUGUGAGAGAGGGUCGUGGAAUUCCCAGUGUAGAGGUGAAAUUCGUAGAUAUUGGGAAGAACACCGGUGGCGAAGGCGGCGACCUGGUUCAUGACUGACGCUGAGGCGCGAAAGCGUGGGGAGCAAACAGGAUUAGAUACCCCUGUAGUCCCUGUCUCUUAUAC
rnacentral:rRNA from 1 species